rnacentral:rRNA from 1 species
CAGCAGCCGCGGUAAUACCGGCGGCCCGAGUGGCGGCCACUAUUAUUGGGCCUAAAGCGUCCGUAGCCGGGCUGGUAAGUCCUCCGGGAAAUCUGGUCGCUUAACGAUCAGACUUCCGGAGGAUACUGCUGGCCUAGGGACCGGGAGAGGCCGAGGGGAUUCCCGGGGUAGGGGUGAAAUCCUGUAAUCCCGGGAGGACCACCUGGGGCGAAGGCGCUCGGCUGGAACGGGUCCGACGGUGAGGGACGAAGGCCAGGGGAGCGAACCGGAUUAGAUACCCGGGUAGUCCUGGCUGUAAACGAUGCGGACUAGGUGUCGGGCAAGCUAAGGGCUUGUCCGGUGCCGCAGGGAAGCCGUUAAGUCCGCCGCCUGGGGAGUACGGCCGCAAGGCUGAAACUUAAAGGAAUUGGCGGG